rnacentral:sRNA from 1 species
AGCGCCCAGGUCCCGGGCUGGCCGCGGGGAUGUUGCCCUACACAGUGAACUUCAAGGUGUCGGCGCGCACCCUCACGGGGGCCCUCAACGCCCACAACAAGGCGGCGGUGGACUGCUUCUGCUGAUGUCAAUGGGAAGAUCAUCGUCUGGGAUGUAGCAGCAGGAGUAGCUCAGUGUGAGAUCCAAGAGCAUGCCAAGCCUAUCCAGGAUGUUCAGUGGUUGUGGAAUCAAGAUGCUUCCCGCGAUUUACUGCUUGCUAUCCACCCGCCAAAUUACAUUGUGCUCUGGAAUGCCGACACUGGCACCAAACUAUGGAAGAAGAGCUAUGCAGAUAACAUUCUUUCCUUUUCUUUUGACCCUUUUGAUCCCUCACAUUUAACUUUGCUUACCAGCGAGGGUAUUGUUUUCAUCUCAGACUUCUCCCCAUCCAAGCCUCCCUCAGGCCCUGGGAAAAAAGUUUACAUAUCCAGCCCACACUCUAGCCCAGCUCAUAACAAGCUGGCCACAGCCACAGGUGCCAAGAAAGCUCUAAAUAAAGUAAAAAUUUUAAUCACUCAA